rnacentral:lncRNA from 1 species
CAUGUCAAAUUUUAAACUUUAUUUUAUUUUUUAUCAGCUGCUGGAUAAUUGAAGGGAAGAAGAUGCCCAACUGACAUCCCGCCCCAGGCAUCAGCCUCCUUGCCGCAGCCUCGCCUCCCAAGACAGAUGUCAAGACAGAGUGUGGCUCCGACAGAAGUGGUGCCCCUCUACCCUGUCAAGCUUCUCAGCCCUCCUGCUGCCAGAUUCCGCGCGUCGCGGCUCCAUCACCUCACCUUCCAAUGGAAAGUAAACAUCCCUCCAGACAAAUAAUGGAUGGAAAUGAACUUUCGAAGGAAGUCGUGACCCUCAAGUUUCACUUGGAGAUUCUCAUUUUGACAUGUUUGUAAAAACCAUUACCCAAGAUUUUUACAAAACCAAAGUUAAAUUACUAGCAAAAUAAAGUAAAAAUUACAGAAUACUUUUCCCCCCAUAUUUAAGUAUUUCGGGAGGAAGGUGUCUAUUUUUAAAUAAAUAAAUGAAGGAUGAAUCACCCAGUACAUCCCAUCCAUGGGCGAACCCCUCGCUGUCAAUCACCUGGAGCUGUUCUCCUCUUCUACUGUCCAUCCACCUCAUCUGGCAGACUCAGCCCUGCCCUGCCCACAUCUGGAAGCCAACUUCCUGUCAGACUUCAUGAAACUGCAAAUUAUUGCAAAGUUCAGCUUGAAAAGGCGAAUGUCUACACCUCAUAUUUCUACAAGGUUCUACAAGAACGGCAACUGGGCUGCACCGCACUUCCUGCACCCCAAGCUGAAACAAAACAAAGUAAAACAGAGCAACAGCGGAAAAACAGAGCACAGAUGCCACAUGUGUGCAAAGUGUUGGAGUGGCCCAAAGGACAAUUUCUUGGCAAUUUUCUUUUUUUCUGCUCUAACCUCAAAAACAGAAUUUCGCAACAUCAAGCGGACAACUCCAGAGACAGCGUAGGGACAACAGAAACUGCCUGCAGUGUGUGGGUCUGCCUCUCAGCACAGUCAACGGGGCCAAGAGGGAUCCGCUGACAGCUCAGGCUGGGUGGUGGCAGCUUGGGACACCAUCUUUUUCUGUUGGGGCACAAAUUCGUCCUCCAGGUACAUCCUACUUCAAGCAGAUGUAGCAAUGUUUGAAGGAUAAGUUGUAGGUGAUUAUUUAAUCUCAAGUAUAUUUAAGAUUAUGCUAAGUGGGUAUUUUUUGGAAGUAAAAUAAAAACUAUUUAUCUUUCCUGGCUUCCCCUAAGGGGGAACAGAAAGAUUGCACUCAUUUAAUGUUAAACUUCCAAACUAACUGAUUUACAUCUCUCUCUCUCUCUCUCUCUCUCUCUCUCUCUCUCACACACACACACACACACACACACACACACACACACACACUUUUUUAUCCCAAAAUGAGACGUUGAUUCUGUAGAGCCAGACACAGCCUUGGCCGGGUAUCCUAUAGGAGAACUGAAGGGUUGGGACCAGAGAAGCUGGAAAUAAUUGUCUACAUUUUAUAGAAAUCAAG